AUGACAGCGACUACUAGCGGUUCUGCCGAAAUGAAUGGGAAGUUGAGGCAACCACGACGGCGGUCACAAUCUAAGUACGCUGAGUGGUGAAUGACACAAGCGCAGCAUGUGAGGAGUGCUGUCAGCAUUGCUGCAGAGAUUGAAGAGGUGGGGACUCAGCCUGUUUGUGCUCAGACCAUACACCGCACUCUACAUCAAAUUGGUGUGCAUGGCUGUCACCCCAGGAGGAAGCCUCUUCUGAAGACGAUCAAAUUCUGGGAUACCGCAGCGUCUGAGCCGCACCUGUAAGUCCACUUGCCUCCCCAUCUGUAACCACAGGCAGCAAAGAGGGGACUGCAGAGUUUUCCCAGGCUCUCUGAGGGUGAAUAUAAAGACCAGUUUGUUCGCUGUGUGCCUACAUCUACUGCGCCAUCUCUUUGAACUGAGCAGCGAUGUCAGCAGCUCACUGCCCCCAACCGCCACACCACCCCUCAUGCGCCCACGGGGAGCGAUAGGCUGGGCGCCAACAGAUCCAACACACAACUAACGAGCAAACAUAUGUCGGCUGGCUCGUGUGAAAAUAUUUCUCAACAUGCGCAGGUUGAGUACAGUCCUGUGAGGAUCGUUUUGGGCAUCCUUUGAGACCAUCAUGUGAAGAAUACAGCAAAUGUUGAAAAGCAAUGUAGAAAGAGCCGUAUUUUGUCAUUGUGGGAGAUUUUAUGCAAGCGUUCCAUCUCAUUGUAUAUACAGUAAGUGUGAGUUAACUGUUUUUUCUUCUCUCUUGUGUGAAGUUUGGUGUUAU